rnacentral:rRNA from 1 species
UACAGAGGUCUCAAGCGUUGUUCGGAUUCAUUGGGCGUAAAGGGUGCGUAGGCGGCGCGGUAAGUCGGAUGUGAAAUCUCGGGGCUUAACUCCGAAACUGCAUUCGAUACUGCCGUGCUUGAGGACUGGAGAGGAGACUGGAAUUUACGGUGUAGCGGUGAAAUGCGUAGAUAUCGUAAGGAAGACCAGUGGCGAAGGCGGGUCUCUGGACAGUUCCUGACACUGAGGCACGAAGGCCAGGGGAGCAAACGGG